rnacentral:rRNA from 1 species
AGUGAACGCUGGCGGCGUGCCUAACACAUGCAAGUCGAACGAUGAUGGAGGAGCUUGCUCUUCCUGAUUAGUGGCGCACGGGUGAGUAUACCAUAGAUAAUGUACCCCUUAGUUCGGGAUAGCCACUGGAAACGGUGAUUAAUACCGGAUACUCCUUCUCGUUAUAAGACGAGUCGGGAAAGUUUUUUCGCUAAGGGAUCAGUCUAUGUCCUAUCAGCUAGUUGGUGAGGUAAUGGCUCACCAAGGCUAUGACGGGUAUCUGGUUUGAGAGGAUGAUCAGACACACUGGAACUGAGACACGGUCCAGACUCCUACGGGAGGCAGCAGUGAGGAAUAUUGCACAAUGGAGGAAACUCUGAUGCAGCAACGCCGCGUGGAGGAUGACGCAUUUCGGUGUGUAAACUCCUUUUAAGAGGGAAGAUUAUGACGGUACCUCUUGAAUAAGCACCGGCUAACUCCGUGCCAGCAGCCGCGGUAAGAC